CACCUGAUUGGCUCUGCCAUGUCCCCACAGGACCGCCCCUGCAGGCCUUGGGCUGUCCCAACCCAACUGACAACCAGACUCCGUUAAACCAAGGCUCUGAGAAAGAGAAUAAAAGCCUUCAUGAACACAGAGCCCAGGUUUCUGCACCAUCUGAGGUCCUGCAUGUCCCCAUUGCCUUGGUGUCCCCUCUGCAGCCCUGAGAAGACCCAGGAGAGGCAACAGCCAUGAAGAUCCUGUUCCUGCUCUUCCCCGUGAUCCUCCUGUUGGCCCAGGGUGCUGCAGGCAGUAUAAUUCAAUGUAGAGAGAGAAGAGGAAUCUGUUCUUUUGUAAGAUGUCGUCCCCCUCUAAGAACUAUUGGAAAAUGUACAGCACUAGCUGUGUGCUGCAGAAGGUAAGAUCUAGAUUUCCUGACUGAGGAAAGAGUUUCUUCCUUUUUCCUCAGAAGGAUCUGUUACAAAUUCCUUUCUUGACAACUCUUGAUAAAUAAUCUCCUGCAUUUAUGCUUUAAGAGAGAUGCCAAAAAAGGAAGGGAAAAAUUCUCAGGGGUUUGGAGCUACCCUGAGUGAGGAUGAAGGAGAUGCAGGACAGCCAAGGCCUUCCCACUCACCCAAGCAACUAAAGAGAAAAACCUUCCCUGUCCUUGGGCAGCACUGAGGACACGAUCCAGGUCCUGCUGCACCUGCACAGAGCUGGAGCCAGGGCUGCCAGCACUGAGACAGCCCAGGUCCAACCUGUCUGCACCAAGGACUGCACCUCACCUGCCCUGAGCCUGAGGCUGCUGCACCACACCCUGGGCA